GUUGCGCCAACGGUCGCCACUCCCUCCAAUCGCCGCCGGCAUCGCCACUUGCUGGAGGCAAGCGAAGACGUUUAGACCACGGCAAAAGCCCUAGCCCUGUUGCGUGGGAGUCGGAGAUAGUAAUGAAUGUUUUCAGAUUACUCGGAUAUGAAAAUGAGACGCAGAUAGAAGCAGAGAGGUGGAGUGAGCCGGCAAGCGCAUGCCGUAAAUCGUCGUCGGCGCCAUGAAUGCAUACUUGCAGUUCCGAGGAUUUCCGAGGAAUCUACAUAGCAUACCAGAAUCUAUGGUGUUGUGGGUGACAUAGAUUACACAGAGUAAUUACAUCGUUGCACCGAAAACCCGACACCCAUUGUUUGUUCGUUGUUGCAUUGUUUUCAGUUUAUGGUCGUGCUUGAUAGGGGUUUUGAAAGAGCUAUGCAUGUUUACAUUGUUUUGUGACCAACGGGCCGGCCCCAUGGUGGGGAUGUCACAUGAACCAUACCUGCGCGCGAUCCAUGCGGAUGCAUGGUGGAUCACUGCACUAAGUCAACCGAUAAAGCUUAGUUAGCGGGGCAGUUGAUAGGCUAUUUUUGUUUGAUAGAGCUGGUUUUGAAUUCAUGUGCUUUAGCCAACUGUGGUCGUGGCCAACAAGUGGUCGUGUGUGCCUCGAGCACAAGUCAUUUUUAGUACGGAUGCCCGUACUCCUUCCAUCCAGGCUUUGAGCUAUGCUUUGGAACAUGGCGUAUAGUGACAGUUGCAGUCAUCCCACGCAUCUGUCCUGCCACAUAGGCCUAACAGGGCAGGCAUUGCUGCUUAUGGCGAUUUCCAUAAGGUUGGUACCCUGAGCGGAUAAUGGCCCGAGGUGCGGAUAGACUUCCAUCAAAGUGGUUAUAAUGCAUCCUCGGCCGUAGGACGGACUCAAACCCUGCCAUCAUCGGCGGCGAACGUUGCAACAUAUUUUACGCGCCAUAUCAUACAUCUCCUGGCGAACAUGCACUGUGAGCUGGCGUACGUCUUCUCUUUGUAAUCCGGCAGUCGCU
rnacentral:lncRNA from 1 species